rnacentral:rRNA from 1 species
UCCGGUUGAUCCUGCCGGAGGCUACCGCUAUUGGAGUUCGAUUAAGCCAUGCGAGUCGCGAGAAAUUAGAUUCUCGGCGUACCGCUCAGUAACACGUGGGUAACCUGCCCUAUGCUGGAUAAUAACCUCGGGAAACUGAGAAUAAUGAUCCAUAGUUCACUACGCCUGGAACGGUGAGUGGAUGAAAGCUCCGGCGGCAUAGGAUGGGCCUGCGGCGUAUCAGGUUGUAGGGGGUGUAACGUACCCUCUAGCCCUCUACGCGUACGGGUGUUGGGAGACAUAGCCCGGAGAUGGAUUCUGAGACACGAAUCCAGACCCUACGGGGUGCAGCAGGCGCGAAAACUUGGCAAUGCGAGAAAUCGUGACCAGGGAACUCCAAGUGCAUCGGGUAAGACCGGUGCUUUUCUUGACUCUAAAUAGGUCUUGGAAUAAGGGGUGGGUAAGGACGGUGCCAGCCGCCGCGGUAAUACCGGCGCCUCAAGUGGUAGUCGCUUUUAUUGGGCCUAAAACGUCCGUAGCCGGUCUGAUACAUUCGUGGGUAAAUCAACCAGCUCAACUGGUUGAAUUCUGCGAGGACGGUCAGACUUGGGACCGGGAGAGGUGUGGGGUACGCUCAGGGUAGGGGUAAAAUCCUGUCAUCCUGAGCGGACCACCUGUUGCGAAGGCGCCACACUAGAACGGAUCCGACGGUCAGGGACGAAGCCUAGGGGCACGAACCGGAUUAGAUACCCGGGUAGUCCUAGGUGUAAACGCUGUGGACUUGAUG